UACGUAGGGACCGAGCGUUGUCCGGAAUCAUUGGGCGUAAAGAGCGUGUAGGCGGCUAUUUAAGUCCUGCGUGAAAUCCUGCGGCUCAACCGCAGACGGUCGUGGGAAACUGGAUGGCUAGAGUGCGGGAGAGGAGAGUGGAAUUCCCGGUGUAGCGGUGAAAUGCGCAGAUAUCGGGAGGAACACCAGUAGCGAAGGCGGCACUCUGGGCCGGAACUGACGCUGAGGAGCGAAAGCGUGGGGAGCGAACAGG
rnacentral:rRNA from 1 species